CGGCAGCCCGCCAGGCUCCCCCAUCCCUGGGAUUCUCCAGGCAAGAACACUGGAGUGGGUUGCCAUUUCCUUCUCCAAUGCAUGAAAGUGAAAAGUGAAAGUGAAGUCGCUCAGUCAUGUCCGACUCUUUGUGACCCCAUGGACUGUAGCCCACCAGGCUCCUCCAUCCAUGAGAUUUUCCAGGCAAGAGUACUGGAGUGGGGUGAGCCUUUAAUCCAGUAUGACUGGGGUCACUGAGAAGAGGGGAAGAGACACAAAGAUACAGACACGUUAGGGGAGAAAAUUACGUGACGACACGGGCAGAGAUUAAAGUGUUGUAGCUGCAUGUCAAAGGAUGCCACGGACACCAGUGAACCACAAGAGACAGGAAGACACAAGGAAGGGUUGUCCCUUUCAGGUUUCAGAGGGAACGCGGCCCUGCCAACACCUUGAUCUGAGACUCUAGCCUCCAGAGCUGUGAGAUGAUUAAUUUCUGUGGUUUUAAGUCACUUAGCCUGUGGUACUUUGUUACAGCAGCUCCAGAAACCUAAUACACCCUAUAUUUUAAAAAUCCCAUCUGGCCAGAGGAAAGAUAGUCUGAUUAUGAAACUGAACUAUUGAUGGAUCACAGAAGUAUCACAUAUUUUCCAAGCCUAUAACCAAAUUAAUUUUUACCAGCCAUGAACAAUUAUUUUUAGAGGUGGGAACACAGGACUGUAAGCCUUCUGCAUGCUUCUUUUGAUAACGUUUUAUAUUUGGACACCUACUCACCAUAAUGUAUGGUUAGAGACAAAGCCUUCAUUGCUGCCUGGAAACCUGGUUCAUCUCUUGUUGAAUCCUUUUCCAUUUUCCUACGUUUUUUCCCUAAGUGUCUUUUUUUUUAAACUUUUAAUUUUUACUUUAUUUUACUUUAAAAGACUGUAUUGGUUUUGCCAUACAUUGACAUGAAUCCACCAUGGGUGUACAUGCGAUCCCAAACAUGAACCCCCCUCCCACCUCCCUCCCCACAACAUCCCUCUGGGUCAUCCCCGUGCACCAGCCCCAAGCAUGCUGUAUCCUGCAUCGGACAUAGACUGGUGAUUCAAUUCUUACAUGAUAGUAUACAUGUUUCAAUGCCAUUCUCCCAAAUCAUCCCACCCUAAGUGUCUUUUAUGCUCUGCAAAUUGUUAGUUUAUCCUCUUUCAAGCAAACUGAUUCCAGAUGACUUGUCUUCCUACUCAUUUUUAUAAAACAGAAGAUUGAUAAAAUGGAUCCCUUCAACUCUUAUCAUCUUCAAGGAAGAGUUCAAAUUGGCAUUGUAUCUCUUCCCACAUCUUUGUGCAAAUAUAUGUUUUUGGAGAUAAAACUCUGCUUUAGGUCCACUAGCCCCUCUGGAGGGAAGGUGUUGGGUAGUAGAGAAAACAUAAUUUAGGUGUACUGACUGGCAUUUCAGGACCUCUGGAUUUUUUUAUUCAUAAAUGAAAGGUGUAGGGUUGGAUUAUCUUAAGGUUUACUUCAGUCCUAGCAUCUGGAACCAGUUUCAAGAGACCACUCGUGGCAAAGGACAGGCUGUGCGGGAAGAUCUGUCCAAAAGAGUCAAGCAGUCAGAGACCAGCUCCUUCCAUCACUUACCCUGCUUUCUCGUGCUAAGCAGUGAGCAAAAGGGGGAUCCAGGUGGAACCAGGAGUGUCUGGAGAGCCAGUCCACGUGACGCAGGGGGAGUGUGUGUAAACGAGGGGCAAGAACCAAGGGCUCAGGAUCAGGCGGUUUCCUAGUUGUAUUCCUUUCUUUCGUACUGUUUGUUUCUGCGUUUGGCUGUGUUGCCGCAUGCAGGGUUUUGAUGGCAGCAUACAGGACUCUCUUCGGUGUGGCUCGUGGACUCCAGUUGCAGUGCCUCAGUUUACUUGCCCCAUGGCACGUGGAAUCUGAGUUCCUCUGACCAGAUGUCCAGCCGACAUGCCCUGCUUUGGAAGGGGGAUUCUUAACCACUAGACUCCUGGGGUGACCAGGUGUCCAGCUGACACACCCUGCUUUGGAAGGGGGAUUCUUAACCACUGGACUCCUGGGGUGACCAGGUGUCCAGCCGACACGCCCUGCUUUGGAAGGCGGAUUCUUAACCACUGGACUCCUGGGGUGACCAGGUGUCCAGCCGACACGCCCUGCUUUGGAAGGCGGAUUCUUAACCACUGGACUCCUGGGGAAGUCCCCGUAGUCAUGUUGUACCCCAGUGCUGUCGAAUGGAGAUACAGCACAAAACGUAAAUGCAAGCCACAUGUACGCAAUUCUACAGGAG
ensembl:lncRNA